UAAGCCUGACUGGCCAGGUGACAGAGGGAAGGGCAGGAAGAGGGGCAUAAAACAGAGCUCUUGGGCCUGAGGAGGCCAGGAGUCCCACAGGCACUGAAAGCACAGAGCCUUGGAAUCUGCAGAGACCAGCGCUGGGACAGAAGAGUUACAUUGGAAGCAGAUGCGGGUAGGAAGCAGAAGUGGGUCUGUACAUUUGUGUGUACAGAACAUCAAGGCAGAGCCACAAGCAGAGCUGCCCGAAGCUCAGAGUGCCAUCAUGGCAGUGAAGCGGAAGAAGAAGGAAGACAUGAGAAGAAUUCAAGAGGACAAUCUCCAUCAGCACAGCAGCGAUUAACAAAAACAGGUGAGUGAAAGAGUGGCAGCCACUCCACUCAGGAAACGUCCUCUCCCUCCUUGUUUACAGAAUAUCAAGGAAUGCCUGCAGGCAGAGCUGCAGAAAACUGAAGAUAAGAUCAAGGCUUGGGAGAAGAGGCUGGAGGAAGAAAUGAAAAUCGUCAGACAGAACGCUAAUCCCCUCCCUCAGGCUCUACAAAAGCAAUGCCUGCGAGGACUGGAUUUUCUUCACUCAAACCAUGUGAUCCACCGAGAUAUGAAGAGCCCAACAUCCUUCUCAGAACCAAUGGCUCUGUCAAGCUGGCUGACUUUGGCCUCUUUGCUCAGCUCCCCCCUGAGCAGAGUAGACGGAGCUCCAUGGCCGGCACUUCUGGGUGGAUGGCGCCUGAAGUGGUGACAGGUCAACCAUAUGGCCCCAAAGUGGACAUAUGGUCUUUUGGAAUCGUGGGCAUUGAAAUGGUGGAACGAGAAGUUCCUUGCUGGAAUGAAACUCCUGGCACGCCUCAACUCCUGAUAGCCAUAUGAGGGAUACCAAAGCUGCAGCAGCCCAACCUGUUUUCUCCUUGCCUGCGUGACUUCCUGAGCUGCUGCCUGCAGACAGAUGAGGCACGGCGCUGGUCUGCCAAGGAUCUCCUGCAGCAUCCAUUUGUAACAUCUGCUGAGCCUGCGUCCAGCCUCGUGCCACUGAUUGUUUCAGUGAAGAAGAGGAAGGAGACAAGAAAGUUAUAAUCACAUCAGGACCAUUUACUCCUCAACCAGUUUAGAGUAGGAUUGUAGGUUAGGACUAGGGUUAGGGUUAAGA